rnacentral:lncRNA from 1 species
UAAUUCAAAUUUAGAGUUUGAGUUUUAAAAUAUUAUAAUUGGAAUAUGUAUUUAUGUUACAAGGUCUAAGGAAUAUAGUUUAGGGUAUAGAAGUUAAAAUUUAAAAUGAAGUUUAAAGAAAAAUAGAUUUAGAGUUUAAGUUUAAGAUUUGUGUUUUGGAAGUUUAGAUUUGAAGUUAAUAUUUAGUGGAUGUAUGAUUUAUGUUUGAAGUAAGGGUUUAGGGUAUAUAGUUUGAUUGAAGAUUCAAGGUUUUGUGGGUUAGAGUUACGGUUUGAGAUUAAGUUUUCAAAAAACUAAAUUUGUUAUAAUUUUAAGAUUGGAAGUUAAAGUAUAAAAAGAUUAUAGUUUAAAUGUUUUUUUAUUAAUAGUUUUCUAGUUUAUGACAUAAGAUAUAUAAUACAUAUGAUGUUUAUAUUUAAUGAUUAUAUUAUGAUCAUAUCAUUUUCAAAACAAUAAUUUAUGUUUAAGUUUAGUUUAGUUUAGAUUAUAAGAUAGAAAGGUUAGAUUUUAUGGUUUUAUAUAGGUUUAGUUUGGGGUUUAGGGUAUAGGAGUUAAAAUUUGAGUUUAGGUAUUUAAUAACGACUGAUUUGCGACUAUAUGAUAUGGUCGGGACAUGUAGUAGUAAAAUAGUCGUUAAUUAGGGAC